rnacentral:rRNA from 1 species
UACGGAGGCAGCAGUGGGGAAUAUUGGGCAAUGGGCGAAAGCCUGACCCAGCAACGCCGCGUGAAGGAAGAAGGUCUUCGGAUUGUAAACUUCUUUUAUGAGGGACGAAGGACGUGACGGUACCUCAUGAAUAAGCCACGGCUAACUACGUGCCAGCAGCCGCGGUAAU